rnacentral:rRNA from 1 species
AUUGAACGCUGGCGGCAGGCCUAACACAUGCAAGUCGAGCGGAUGAAGGGAGCUUGCUCCUGGAUUCAGCGGCGGACGGGUGAGUAAUGCCUAGGAAUCUGCCUGGUAGUGGGGGAUAACGUCCGGAAACGGGCGCUAAUACCGCAUACGUCCUGAGGGAGAAAGUGGGGGAUCUUCGGACCUCACGCUAUCAGAUGAGCCUAGGUGUGAUUAGCUAGUUGGUGGGGUAAAGGCCUACCAAGGCGGCGAUCCGUAACUGGUCUGAGAGGGUGAUCAGUCACACAUAACGUGAGACGCGAUCCAGACACUGAGGUGAGGCAGAGGGGGGGAAUGUAGGAAAAGGGGGGAAAGCUUGACCCAGCCAGGCAGGGGGUGUGAAGAAGGGCUGCGGGUUGGAAAGCAUUUUUAGUUGGGAAAAAGGGCAGUAAGUGAAAACCUGGCUGUUUGACGGUAACAAAAAAAAAAGCCACGGCUAACUUCGUG